UCUUGCCUACGGGGCGCAGCAGUGGGGAAUGUUGCACAAUGGGCGAAAGCCUGAUGCAGCGACGCCGCGUGAGAGAAGAAGUAUUUCGGUAUGUAAAGCUCUAUCAGCAGGGAGGAAAAUGACGGUACCUGACUAAGAAGCCCCGGCUAACUACGUGCCAGCAGCCGCGGUAAUACGCAGGGGGCAAGCGUUAUCCGGAUUUACUGGGUGUAAAGGGAGCGUAGACGGCGAAGCAAGUCUGAAGUGAAAACCCAGGGCUCAACCCUGGGACUGCUUUGGA
rnacentral:rRNA from 1 species